UCUCUCCUAGCUUAAGUUUAAAGUAUUGAUUUGAAGCGUCGAAGAUUGUAUUGAAUACGGUGAGGA
rnacentral:tRNA from 1 species